CCUACGGGAGGCAGCAGUAAGGAAUAUUGGUCAAUGGAGGCAACUCUGAACCAGCCAUGCCGCGUGCAGGAUGACGGCCCUAUGGGUUGUAAACUGCUUUUAUACAAGAGAAAACCCUGGUACGUGUACCAGGUUGAUAGUAUUGUAAGAAUAAGCAUCGGCUAACUUCGUGCCAGCAGCCGCGGUAAGACGAAGGAUGCAAGCGUUAUCCGGAUUCAUUGGGUUUAAAGGGUGCGUAGGCGGACUGAUAAGUCAGUGGUGAAAUCUCUUUGCUUAACAAAGAAACUGCCAUUGAUACUGUCGGUCUAGAGUAUAGAUGACGUUGGCGGAAUAUGACAUGUAGUGGUGAAAUACUUAGAUAUGUCAUAGAACACCGAUUGCGAAGGCAGCUAACGAAACUAUAACUGACGCUGAGGCACGAAAGUGCGGGGAUCAAACAGGAUUAGAUACCCUGGUAGUCCGCACCGUAAACGAUGAUUACUCGUUGUUGGCGAUAUGACAGUCAGCGACCAAGCGAAAGCGAUAAGUAAUCCACCUGGGGAGUACGCCGGCGAACGGUGAAACUCAAAGGAAUUGACGGNGNGAGAGNGCGAGGACGACACGAGGGAGGAGG
rnacentral:rRNA from 1 species